rnacentral:tmRNA from 1 species
GGGGCCGCAAUGGUUUCGACAGGGAUACUGAAUCAGGAUAAGCGGGUAGAUGCCCCGGACAUCUAUAAAAACGGGAACUUAAACAUAAACGCAAACGAUAACUUUGCAUUUGCUGCUUAAGCAGCAUGUACUCCCGGGUUCUCCCGUCAGGCCCGAAGAGUGCAUCAGAUCAUGACGGGUAACUGUGCUGUAAAACCUGUAGCAGUGCUGUGACAACAGGCAUGCGUCUUCCGGGCUUCGCGCCCUGUGCCCGGCUGAUGCGAGAGAGAACAGUGUGAUGCACCCGGAGAAAGUCCUGUGGACGUGUUUUUGGACGGGAGUUCGAUUCUCCCCGGCUCCACCA